rnacentral:rRNA from 1 species
GACGAACGCUGGCGGCGUGCUUAACACAUGCAAGUCGAACGGUGAAGGGGUCUGCUUUUGUGGGCCCUGGAUGAGUGGCGAACGGGUGAGUAACACGUGAGUAACCUGCCCCCUUCUUCUGGAUAACCGCAUGAAAGUGUGUCUAAUACGGGAUAUUCUGGGUCUGUCGCAUGAUGGGUCUGGGAAAGGUUGCGCCUUUGGGUGUUGUUGGUGGGGGAUGGGCUCGCGGCCUAUCAGCUUGUUGGUGGGGUGAUGGCCUCCCAAGGAGGUGACGCGUAGCCGGGAUGGGAGGCUGGACGGCUAGACUGGGACUGAGACACGGACCAGAAUGCGACGGGGGGGAGCGGUGGGGAAUAUUGCACGAGGGGGGCAAGCCGGAUGACGCGACGUCGGGGGUGGGAUUGAGGGCUUCGGGUUGUUCACCUCUUUGGCAAGAGAAGCAGGCCUGGUACUUGUGGGUGUGUUGACGGUAGCUAGAUAAGAAGCGCCGGCUAACUACGUG